AAACAUAGUUUUUUGUUGUUUUAUAAAAAAUAUUUUCUGCUCAGUGGUUGUUAAAUAGCCGCGGUAAUUUGACCGUGCAAAGGUAGCAUAAUCAUUUGUCUUAUAAUUGAGGGCUGGAAUGAAUGGGAGAACAAGAUUUUUUCUUUAUUAGGGAGAGUUAAAGAAUUUUAUUUUUUAGUGAAGAAGCUAAAAUUUUUUUAUGGGACAAGAAGACCCUUUUGAGCUUUAUUAACUUUUUUUUUAUUAAUCCAAGUUAAUUUGGUUGGGGCAACCAAGGAAGAGUUAUUUUCCUUUAUUUAUUUAGAUCUAGGGUUUCUAAUUAAUGGAAUAAGUUACCAAAGGGAUAACAGCGUAAUUUUUUUUGUGAGUUCUUAUUAAAAAGAAAGAUUGCGACCUCGAUGUUGACUUAUAAUUACCUCUUGGUGUAGCAGCUAAAAGGGUGGGUCUGUUCGACCUUUAAAGUUUUACGUGAGUUGAGUUCAAACCGGCGUGAGCCAGGUU
rnacentral:rRNA from 1 species